rnacentral:rRNA from 1 species
UCCGUAGGUGAACCUGCGGAAGGAUCAUUAGUGAAUUAAACAUGCUUGGUGUCUUCGCUUCGGCAAGGCCCUUGCUUAACUCACAUCCCAACACCUGUGAACUGUAAGGCGCAUGACUAGGUUCGCCCAAGUCAUCGUCUGCCCUUUUUAACAAACAAUUAAUGUAACAAACGUAGUCUUAUUAUAACCUAAUAAAACUUUCAACAACGGAUCUCUUGGCUCUCGCAUCGAUGAAGAACGCAGCGAAAUGCGAUAAGUAAUGUGAAUUGCAGAAUUCAGUGAAUCAUCGAAUCUUUGAACGCACCUUGCGCUCUUUGGUAUUCCGAAGAGCAUGCCUGUUUGAGUGUCAUGAAAAUAUCAACCUUGACUUGGGUUUUGUGCUCUAGUCUCGGCUUGGAAUUGGGUGCUUGCCGCUUUUACGAGCGGCUCACCUUAAAUGUAUUAGCUGGAUCUGUCUUUGAGACUUGGUUUGACUUGGCGUAAUAAGUAUUUCGCUAAGGACAUUCUUCGGAGUGGCCUCGUUUCUAGGACGCUUGUCCGCUUUCCAAUACAAGUUCCACCUCGUGGACAUGACUUUUUAUUAUCUGGCCUCAAAUCAGGUAGGACUACCCGCUGAACUUAAGCAUAUCAAUAAGCGGAGG